UAAUCUCGCGAUCAGAAUUAUAUAGCACAAAGUUGCCUGAAUCAGACAUAGAAGCUAAAGAAGCUGGCUGGGAAGCAGAAACUAUCAAAGUCUCACCCCCUUGUGCUGAUGUCAGGACAAGCCUGCCAUCACUGGUGAAGAGCAAGGUCGAAUUACUGGGGACUGGGUCAUCAUCCCUUCUAGCAGCCCACACAACAGUCUUUAGUGAAAUCCCGGAUAGAAAAACCCCUAUAGAAUAGCCGUUGCGUUGUCGGAAAAAUCCAAAAGCAUAAAGACCGGAAGGCGACAACCAUGAGGAGUUUGUGAUAGGUGUUAGAGAAGAUCCUAGGGUUAUAUUGGUCUGUAUUUGAGCUGAAGCUGUAAAAGAUAAGGCGAGAAGAAGAAAAAAGAUGAUAGAAGCCAUGGAUAGGGAUUUAGCUCUUGUGUGGUAUAGGAGUGUCAAUAUAAAGAUGUCCAUUGUUCCAGCACUCCAGUCUCUUUCUUUGGUUUCCAGCAGUCAAGCCAGGCACUCAAAACAUAAAAGUCUAGCCAUAAAAUCCACCGCGUUCCCGUACCAAUUGGUGGAAAUCCUUGCUGUUACUUUUCUGCUUUCAAAGUCAAUGCAGUCAAGUCACUGAAAAAACUCGGGAAUUACUUGGCGCUGGUCCACUUUUUCCAUCAUACUAUCCCCCAUUUGAACAGCCAUUUGCUAAUUUCAGCAGGAUUAUUCUUAGUACUAGUUUUCCGCGGCAGAUUCUUUGUCAUUUGCCAUGUACCAUUCAAUACGCUUUGAAGACACAAUCUUUAGCUUCCUGCAGACAGGUUCAACUAGUUAAGAAAUAUCGAUUGUGGUGCCAAUGCUAAUACCCUGGCAUAAUACUAGGGCAAGACAGAACAGCUUGCUUGCUUAUACUAAUGUCCCUCAUAUGCUAAAGCCUAGCUAGCAACCUCAGUUUCUAACGAAAGAGCAUCUCUACAUGUUGCGUAACUAACAUACUCGUCGUGUUAUGGAUGUUUGAAGAUGGAUUUACUCUCAAUAUGUAAAUCCUAGCUAGGUAAAUAAAUAAUCCCUUGAUCAUUAAAACUGAAAAGUGGAACUCAUUGGACCGUUGAUUUUAUGAUCAAUUCCACUGUACGACUUUAUUCAGAGUACAAUUGAGGUGGUCACGGCAAGGACUGAGUCAAGGGACAACCUAGCAUUUGCUGACCUGCUCUUCUCAGCAAAAGCUUCUUCUCUCACCAGCUUCAUGCCAUGGUUGCUGAUUGGAGGGGGUUUAUAAUUUAUUUUUUACAAAUGUGCUAUGAAAAAGAAAAAAAAUGCUAUAAUAUUAAAAAAAACGAAUUUCCUCAUAGCUAUGAUAUUUAUAAUAUUAAUGAUGUUACACUUGUGAUGAAGAUGAUGGUGAUGUAAUGGUAAUGAUGAUUAAAGUGAUUGAAAAAUAUUAUUAGUAAUAUUUCACCAUGAGUUAAUAGUUUUAUGAUGGAAAAAAGUAUUUUUUUCUAUUUCGGAUAAUUAGAAAGAAAAAUAUUUUUCUAUUGAUAAUUUAUUAGUAUAUAUAUUUCAAAUGUUUAAGAUAUAUUUCAAAUAAAUGUACCUUAACUAUGAUAAAUGAUAUAUUCUCCGUUUGUUUGCAAUUUGAUUGUAAAGGAUUCCUUUUAACAUAAUUCUGCUUGAUAUACUCCAUGUAAUUACAAACUAAUUAGCUCAUUCUGGUCUUCUCACUUCUGGCAAUUAGCCAGUUUGAUGGCGACUUGCAACAAUGUACUGUCACCAACCGUUGUGUUGGACUUCGAUUCACCAAUAAUGCCCUGCAACUGAGCUUGAGCGAAGGAAUGGACAUUUGCAUUUUAGGCAAGGAAUUGCCUUGUAGAAUAGAAGAAGAAGAAGAAGGGGAAAAAACAAGCAAAGAUCCUUGUCUCAUUAAUUCUACUCUUCGUAAAGAGCACGUUGUUUAUACUUAAGAACACAUGAAGCUUUCAUGCUAACAUUUUCUUUUCUCCUCUUUAUAUAAUUAUAUACUUUUUUUUUUUUUUUUAAUAUCUAAGAUACUGUGGGAAACAACUUUACAGGCAUUAACACUAGAAGAAAAAUCAACAGGAAGCUCCUAAAUGCUGCGUAAACAUAUAGCAAUUUUAUAAAGAAAAGGAAUACAUGACCUGAAAAAUAAAAUACAGUACUGUGCAGAUGAAUCUCUUAUUCUGAACCACAAAACGCAGCUUUAUAUAGCAGUAAUAAAAGAAGUAGGACUUGGAGGGAUUGGGAUUUCGACUGUCCCCUCCAACAUCAGGAGGACCUUUUUCAUUGAAGGGCGGAGGGAUGGCUCAUCAAGAGUGCACCAAAUUCCCACUUUAACCAUCCUAUCUAACUGUUUCUUUUCGGCGACUUCUUCACCCACGAGUUUGUCCAUAUCACCGUCCUGAAAACAUUGGUAAACCCAUUGUUCGAGAACAGCUUCAUCCUCUGGAAGACUCCAAUCCACAUUCUUUCGACAACAUGUUAUCUCCAACAACAUAACUCCAAAGCUAUAAACAUCUGCUUUAACUGUCACCGGCAUAUUCCGGUGCCAUUCUGGUGCUACAUAUCCCCUCGUCCCUCUAAUUCCUGUGAAGGUUUUAGUUUGGUCUGACUUCAGCAACUUUGCCAAUCCAAAGUCAGAAACUUUGGGGCACCUGCUUUCAUCUAUUAGUAUAUUCUGAGGUUUUAUAUCACAGUGGAUGAUCUGAGUCUCGCACUCUUCAUGUAGAUAAACAAUACCCCUUGCAAUGUUGCGAGCAAUUUCCAACCUUUCAGGGAAGCAAGGUCGUUUUUCAAGUGAGAAGAGUAUGUCAGCGAGGGAGCCAUUGCUCAUGUACUCGUAUACCAGGAGCCUGUGAUGUCCAUCAUGGCAAUAGCCGAGGAGACGGACUAGGUUUCUGUGAUGUGUUUUCCCAAUGACUUUCAUCUCAUUCUGAAAUUCUCUUUCCCCUUCAGCUAGAACUUUCUCCAGUCUCUUGACAGCAACAACCUUCUGAUUACUUGAUAUUAUCCCUUUAUAUACUGUCCCAAAUGAUCCCCUGCCAAUUUCUUCCUUGAAACCACCAGUAACAUUUUCUAGCUCUGCAUAAGUGAAAGCUCGAGGAGCAAAUUCCUCAUUCAAUCCUGUACUAUCAUUACUGGGCACCUUUUUAUAUGCCAAUACAUGAUAUCUGUAAAUGAUGAUUCCGCAAAUCGGGACCAUAGCAAGCCCAAAAGCAACAAAUGAACAACUUAUUAUUAGGAUUGUCCUGCCCGUGCCAAGGUUCUUCUUCUCGGUUAUAGGCUCUUUUGAGUCUUUUCUGUCCAUGAUGGAUAUGGGUCUGCCCACCUUGACGACAGCCAAGUUCGUACUUCCCAAUUUUCUCCUCCCAAAUCUCAAAGGAAGCCUUUGCUUUCUGCAGUACUGUCCAUCAGUGAAUAAUGCUGCUUCACAGUUACAGUCUUCCAAACAGGCUUGCUUACAAUUGUCUUUAGUUGUUGAUGACAAAACGGAGUAUGAAGCAUCUUCCCACUCAGUAUUAGACAGCUCUUCCAUGGUGUAUGUGCUACUUCCAUUCUUGUCUUUGCAACUUUCAGCAUCGAAAUCCCUCUCACAGCCAGAAGUCCAAUUUCCCUGGCUAACAAACUCAAAUCCAGGAAGACAAGUACAUUCAGCUUCCUUAUCCUUCAUAACACAAUAUCCAUUAAGACCGCAUGAUCCUUUGGGGUCACACUUGUUGCUUGUGGACGACCACACAUCUGACCUGUUUCCAUUCCGUGUCAGAUUUUGUGAAUAUAAUCUGAAAAUCCCAUCAGCAUCAAGUUUCAUCAUAUUAAUUGUUUCUUUCGUGGGAUAUUCUCUAGCUGUAAUGUUUUUGAUGUUGAAACCUGUGGAAUUGAGCAGGUAGAGAUGGCCAUCCGGAUCAAGAUUUAGGGUCACAUUAUCUCCCUUCCCAUCAGUAAAAGAUGAAAAAUAAGAAUAUGGAGCUGUAUCUGGAGUAUUAACAGGAUACUGCACAAGGUUGCCAUCAUUUUGCAUCUUGAGUCGGUAAAUACCAGUUGAGAGGUCAGUUUCUGAAACAGGAGAAAACAGCUCUGCCCCUGCUUUGAGCUGUUGAGUUGGCAAAAGGGUAUCUGUUGGGUGGUCAAAACUCUGCCAUAUAAUCUCGCGAUCAGAAUUAUAUAGCACAAAGUUGCCUGAAUCAGACAUAGAAGCUAAAGAAGCUGGCUGGGAAGCAGAAACUAUCAAAGUAUCACCCCCUUGUGCUGAUGUCAGGACAAGCCUGCCAUCACUGGUGAAGAGCAAGGUCGCAUUACUGGGGACUGGGGCAUCAUCCCUUCUAGCAGCCCACACAACAGUCUUUAGUGAAAUCCCGGAUAGAAAAACCCCUAUAGAAUAGCCGUUGCGUUGUCGGAAAAAUCCAAAAGCAUAAAGACCGGAAGGCGACAACCAUGA
rnacentral:lncRNA from 1 species